GCCAAGUUUGGAUUAAUUUGGCCCGGUAGUUUCAGAGGAGAAGAUUUUUGUAAAAUAUUACUAAGAUUUACGAAAAAUGGUUAAAAAUUGACUAUAAAGGGCAAAAACUCCUAAAGGGGUCAACUGACCAUUUCAGUCAUGUUGACUUAUUUGUAAAUCUUACUUUGCUGAACAUUAUUGCUGUUUACUGUUUAUCUCUAUCUAUAAUAAUAUUCAAGAUAAUAACCAAAAACAGCAAAAUUUCCUUAAAAUUACUAAUUCAGGGGCAGCAACCCAACAAAGGGUUAUCCGAUUCAUCUGAAAAUUUCAGGGCAGAUAGAUCUUCACCUGUUUAACAAUUCUACCCCGUGUCAGAUUUGCUCUAAAU
rnacentral:lncRNA from 1 species